GAAAUAGAAAAUAAAUAUCUAUCGAGUAAUAUUACAGAAUAUAUUGAUACGCAUGCGAUAGCCCUUUCGCACGCACACAGAGAUACACAUUAUCACGCUCGCACAUUCACUCUUCGGUAACUGUAAACACAACAAUAAUGUGUAAGGUUGCGAAACCGUCUUUUGUGCCAGGUUAUGAGCUGUUUUGCUCGCAUGCCUCUGUCAACUGUCGUGUUCGCCACACUGUUUACUGGUUGCUGUGGUGAAGGCCAGAAGCAGACGUACAGUUCACGCGCCCUGAGUCUGCUAGUCGCGGAUUUCACAUUCAGCUGAUUCACCGCCGACAUAAAAUAUAACCGUUUCUUGUGAAUCAUGGGCUUUUCAAUGUCAAAGUCUGAAAAGCCCAAGACAAAUCUUGCUCUUCAUUCACACCAUGUACAACCUGUGGGUAUUUCUUCCAAUCAGCCACAACAGCAACAGCCUCAUCAACAACAACAGCAUCACCAAAACCAGCAACUUCAACAA